UACGUAGGUGACCAGCGUUGUCCGGAUUUACUGGGCGUAAAGAGCGCGCAGGCGGUCGUUCAAGUCGAGUGUGAAAGCCCCCGGCUCAACUGGGGAGGGUCACUCGAUACUGAUCGACUUGAAGGCAGGAGAGGGAUGCGGAAUUCCAGGUGUAGCGGUGAAAUGCGUAGAUAUCUGGAGGAACACCGGUGGCGAAGGCGGCAUCCUGGACCAAGACUGACACUGAAAAGCGAAAGCCAGGGGAGCAAACGGG
rnacentral:rRNA from 1 species